rnacentral:misc_RNA from 1 species
GUGAGUCAUCGAAUCUUUGAACGCACAUUGCGCCCGGUGGUAUUCCGCCGGGCAUGCCUGUUCGAGCGUCAUUUAAACCAAUCCAGCCUCGUGCUUGGGUCUUGGGCCUUUCGCCUCUGGGCGGGCCUUAAAAUCAGUGGCGGUGCCAUUUGGCUCUAAGCGUAGUAAUACUCCUCGCUAUAGACGUCUAGUGGUGUCUUGCCAACAACCCCCAAUUUUUACAGGUUGACCUCGGAUCAGGUAGGGAUACCCGCUGAACUUAAGCAUAUCAAUAAGCGGAGGA